rnacentral:rRNA from 1 species
UGAAUACGAGAUGCUACGGCGUCGAAGCAGUCUAUGUCAUACUUCCAAGAAAAGCUCGCACUGUCAUAAACAAAUAAUGCCUGUACCAUAACCGACACAGGUGGGUAGGUAGAGUAUACUAAGGGGCGCGAGAUAACUCUCUCUAAGGAACUCGGCAAAGUGACUCCGUAACUUCGGGAGAAGGAGUGCCUUAUUUAUAAGGUUGCAAUAACAAGAUCCAAGCAACUGUUUAUCAAAAACACAGGUCUCCGCUAAGUCGUAAGACGAUGUAUGGGGGCUGACGCCUGCCCAGUGCCAGAAGGUUAAAGAAGUUGGUUAGCAUUCGCGAAGCUGAUAACUGAAGCCCUGGUGAACGGCGGCCGUAACAAUAACGGUCCUAAGGUAGCGAAAUUCCUUGUCGGGUAAGUUCCGACCCGCACGAAAGGCGUAAUGAUUUGGAUACUGUCUCGGAGAGGGGCUCGGUGAAAUAGACUUGUCUGUGAAGAUGCGGACUACCUGCACCAGGACAGAAAGACCCUAUGAAGCUUUACUGUAACUUGAGAUUGAAAUUGGACUUUACUUGCGCAGUAUAGGUGGGAGGCGUUGAUAAUAUUCUUGCGGGAUUAUUUGAGCCAUCAGUGAGAUACCACUCUUGUAAUGUUAGAUUUCUAACUUUGUAUCAUUAUCCGGUCAAAGGACAGUUUCAGGCGGGCAGUUUGACUGGGGCGGUCGCCUCCUAAACGGUAACGGAGGCGCACAAAGGUUUCCUCUGAACGGGUAGAAAUCGUAUCUAGAGUGUAAAGGCAUAAGGAAGCUUGACUGUGAGACCUACAAGUCGAGCAGGGACGAAAGUCGGUCUUAGUGAUCUGACGGUGCUGAGUGGAAAGGCCGUCACUCAACGGAUAAAAGUUACUCUAGGAUAACAGGCUGAUCUCCCCCAAGAGUUCACAUCGACGGGGAGGUUUGGCACCUCGAUGUCGGCUCAUCGCAUCCUGGGGCGGUAGUACGUCCCAAGGGUUGGGCUGUUCGCCCAUGAAAGCGGUACGCGAGCUGGGUUCAGAACGUCGUGAGACAGUUCGGUCCAUAUCCGGUGUAGGCGUUAGAAUAUUGAGAGGAGCCUUCUUUAGUACGAGAGGACCGAGAAGGACAUACCUCUGGUGUACCAGUUAUCGUGCCAACGGUAAACGCUGGGUAGCUAUGUAUGGAGUGGAUAACCGCUGAAAGCAUCUAAGUGGGAAGCCCACCUCAAGAUAAGUAUUC